rnacentral:rRNA from 1 species
AACGCUAGCUACAGGCUUAACACAUGCAAGUCGAGGGGCAGCAUGGACUCAGCUUUGCUGAGUUUGAUGGCGACCGGCGCACGGGUGAGUAACGCGUAUCCAACCUGCCCUUUACUCCGGGAUAGUCUCCUGAAAGGGAGUUUAAUACCGGAUGUGUUUGUUUUUCCGCAUGGGAGCGACAAAUAAAGAUUAAUUGGUAAAGGAUGGGGAUGCGUCCCAUUAGCUUGUUGGCGGGGUAACGGCCCACCAAGGCAACGAUGGGUAGGGGUUCUGAGAGGAAGGUCCCCCACAUUGGAACUGAGACACGGUCCAAACUCCUACGGGAGGCAGCAGUGAGGAAUAUUGGUCAAUGGGCGAGAGCCUGAACCAGCCAAGUAGCGUGAAGGACAACGGCCCUACGGGUUGUAAACUUCUUUUAUAAGGGAAUAAAGUUCGCCACGUGUGGUGUUUUGUAUGUACCUUAUGAAUAAGCAUCGGCUAAUUCCGUGCCAGCAGCCGCGGUAAUACGGAAGAUGCGAGCGUUAUCCGGAUUUAUUGGGUUUAAAGGGAGCGUAGGCGGGCUUUUAAGUCAGCGGUCAAAUGCCACGGCUCAACCGUGGCCAGCCGUUGAAACUGUAAGCCUUGAGUCUGCACAGGGCACAUGGAAUUCGUGGUGUAGCGGUGAAAUGCUUAGAUAUCACGAAGAACUCCGAUUG